CGGACUGGAGCGGAGGCGGCAUCCGGACCGGGCUACGGCAGAGCGGGGCCGGGGCCUCGGGGAUCCCCGGCGCAGGGGGAGGAGUGGCCCCGGCGCCUCAGAGGGGCUCCCGGACGCCCUGACGCGGGGCGACGUUGCCCCCAGUUUCAAGGGCGUCCCCAGAAUCCUGGACCCCAGGAACGCUGGCUGGCGGACGGGGGCUCGGGGUCCCCGGGGUUCGUAACGGGUCGGGAGACUGGGCCUCCCAUUUUCAGGGAGCCCGCUAAGCCUGACCCGCCGGUAUGCCCAUCACUGCGUAAAAAAGAAAAACAAAACAACUUUGCACGAUGACGUCAACAAGUGUUAGGUCCUUGAGACGCUCUCCCUCAAGGAAGCCCCCAGGGAAACUGAGGCCCCGGCCUCCAGAGGCUGGUAGGCCCGGUGACCUGCGCAGGUGAAGAGGCUGAAGACCAGGACGACAGUCUCUACUCCAACACAGACCCAGCGCUGGGCGGGAGGGGCUGGAGGUGGCAGCAGGGGACCGGAACGAGCCUGUCUGGUCCGCAUCUUGAACGGACCACAGGGGCCACCCACAGCGCAGCCCUGCCAGCAAGGGACUGUCACCGCCAUCCUCACUGUGUGCUGGGCCUGAGAGGGCACUGGGAGCGCAGCAGCCAGCAGCCAGGCAAAUCCCCCUGCUCUUGGGGGCUUCCAGGAGGAGGUGUAAGAUAAACAACCGUACUGGGAAUACGAACCUUCCGGAAACGUGAAGCAGGGGGUGCAAGAUACAGCGGGGAGGGAGAAGUGUGAGCGGGGGCAGAGAGGAUGAUGAGCAUGUGAACCCCACCUCAGCCAGGGCCGUAUGAGUCCAGAGCUGGAGAAACAGGGAGCCACGUGAGUGUAGAGGGAGAGCAUCUCACGGCGUAACACUGAGCCAGCAUCCCGCUCGGUCUCUUGACUCCAGAACCUAUGGAUGUUCCUGGCCUGGAGGCACCCGUGGCGAGGUGGUGAGGGGUACACGAAGCUCCUGACCCGGAUGCCUUCUCGGAGCCAGGAGGGCUUUCCCACUGACAGCAGCUGGACCACCAACAGCCCAGGGCCACUGUGUGGGGGGUGGCCUUGGCACCACACAGGGACCAAGGGGCCCCUUGGGGGUCUGUGAUCCUGGACCCUCCCAGCUGCAAGGAACCUCAGAGCCCCAGGAAACUCAUACAUCAUGGUAACCAGCUGUUCUCCCUUCUGGCUUCCUCUCCAGACAGGGAGCCCCCCAAAGGCAGGGGCCUCCCUUGAUUCAUCUCUGUGUCUCCGGGGCCCAGCUGUGGACCUGGUGUUGAAACAAACGUGAUGUGAGGAUGCCGGCCACCCACCGAGGACCUCCCAGGGCAGCGUGAGAGACUUGGGCAGAGCACCUGGAGAACAGAACCAGUGCUCAGAGCCACCAGUGAAUGGGAAGAAUGUGGACUUCAGUUGCCACUUUACCUGUGUGACCUUGGGCGUGUCAUUUGACCUCUCUGAGCCUCCGGUUUCUUUGUGAGGCAGGAGAGAUGGCGUUGUGUCAAUACUCAAAAGACUAUCUGCUGCCUGGUUAUGAGCAAGAGCCGUGCAUACCCAUGUGAGUGUGUCCUGGCGGCGUCUUGGGUGACGAUGCCUUGGGAGAACGAGCCAGGUCCCCAGUACUGCCUCUUCCCAGCUGGGUGACUUACCUUUGGCAGAGCUUCACAGACUCUGGGCAGCCUGUCCCAUCAGCUGCUAAGUGGGAGAGAACCAGAUGCAUCUACGAAGGUUACAUGAUCAGCAAGUGACCUGAUAGUGCUGAGGCACAAGUGUAUGACCGCCCUUCUCCCUAAGUGUCACAGGUAAGUUCCAAAAGAGUAGGGACUGGCUCUGGGUCUGUACCUUGCUGUCCUGCUCACAGUGGUGAACUUUAUGCUUCUUGAUGGCAAUGCCCUCACUCUCAUGUCAUUCCCAAGGCCUCCCAUCCUCUCCUAACAAGUCAAUAUUUAUAGUCUAAGCCGGGGCAGGAGGCAGAUCAUGUCCCUCCAGUCACUUGAUACUAUUUUGACCCUGCGCUGGCACAGGUUCUGAGAUUGUACCGAGGCUCAGUGCUCGGAAACGGUGCUGCGAUUGAUUGGUGAUGUCUGUGACUGUGAGAGGCUUGUAGGAUUGGUUCAUGUGCUGCUUUGCAUUUACCAGCUCCUGUCACCUAUCUUUAAGGGCUCACGAAGCUCGCAAAUCAGAAAGGUUUUUUUCUGAGCAGCUAAUAAAUAUCAAGCUCCCUCUCUAUGCUCCACUGGACACGGAGAGGAAACUAAGGAAGUACAUAGCACCUUUCUGCCCACAGAGAGCUUACAGUCUCCUUUAACUGGGUCCUGACCAUUUCUACUAUCCUUCACUUCUUUCUGCUUUGCUUCUAGUGUCUAGACUGCCUCUCCCUUUACCAGCUGUUCUGCCCCAAAUAGCUAUUGUGUGCACUUGGCCCAACUCCCAAGAGCAAGCACUUAGGAAUUCUACAGAAAAUACGUCACCUAAAAUACGGCUGAGCUUCCAAGACAAGUUAUGAAUGCUGUAGAGGAAUUAUAGUUGCAUGACAGCAGCAACUGGACAAUGACUCCCAGCUGGGGUGAUUAGGGUGUUUCUGCCUAGGUUUGCGCAAGCUUUCUGUGGCACGUUGCCAAACUCCGCUCCCCAUGUUGCAAAGAUGUUUGGCAGCUCGGCAUUUCUCGGGGAUGGGAAGUAAUGUGGGCAAGGACGCCCUGCAAGUGGGUUUUGUAUCGUGGGUCACCACCUUGCUGUUGCCGGGCUCAGAGCAGAAACCCCACGAGAAGGGGCACUUCCCAGUUUGCCUCACUGUCUCUGGGACUCUCUUGAUUCUUUUUUUUUCAAUAAUAAAUUUAUUUUUUAUUGGUGUUCAAUUUGCCAACAUACAGAAUAACACCCAGUGCUCAUCCUGUCAAGUGCCCACCUCAGUGCCCACCACCCAGUCACCCCAACCCCC